rnacentral:rRNA from 1 species
GACUACGCUGGCGGCGUGCCUAACACAUGCAAGUCGAACGCAUCUGUGCUUCGGUACAGAUGAGUGGCGAACGGGUGAGUAACACGUGAGUAACUCCCCUGGGGGAGGGGGAUAACCAUCUGAAAAGGUGGCUAAUACCCCAUAUUCUCUUUUCUCAUAAGAGGAAGGAGGAAAGAUGGCGUAAGCUAUCACCCCGAGAGAGGCUCGCGUCCCAUCAGCUAGUUGGUAAGGUAAUGGCUUACCAAGGCUAUGACGGGUAGCUGGUCUGAGAGGAUGGUCAGCCACACUGGGACUGAGACACGGCCCAGACUCCUACGGGAGGCAGCAGUGAGGAAUCUUGGGCAAUGGGCGAAAGCCUGACCCAGCGACGCCGCGUGGAGGAAGAAGGCCUUCGGGUCGUAAACUCCUGUUCGGGGAGAAGAACAGGAGAGGAGUGAAUAGCUUCUCUCCCUGACGGUAUCCCCGGAGAAAGCUCCGGCUAAUUACGUG